CCUACGGGAGGCAGCAGUAGGGAAUUUUGCGCAAUGGGCGAAAGCCUGACGCAGCCACGCCGCGUGAACGAGACGCCCUUCGGGGUGUAAAGUUCUGUCAGUGGGGACGAAAACUGACGGUACCCACAGAGGAAGCACCGGCUAACUCCGUGCCAGCAGCCGCGGUAAUACGGAGGGUGCAAGCGUUGUCCGGAAUCAGUGGGCGUAAAGAGUUCGUAGGCGGCAUGUAAAGUCAGGUGUGAAAGGCGCAGGGUCAACCUGUGUAUUGCACUUGAGACUUGCAAGCUGGAAUGCGGUAGAGGGAAAGGGAAUUCCUGGUGUAGCGGUGAAAUGCGUAGAUAUCAGGAGGAACAUCGGUGGCGUAAGCGCUUUACCGGGCCGUAAUUGACGCUGAGGAACGAAAGCCAGGGUAGCAAAUAGGAUUAGAUACCCUUGUAGUC
rnacentral:rRNA from 1 species